UUGAUUUAUUUUGUUUUCAGGGCUCUCGCCCUCUCAGAGAUACACAUAAAAUUCGGGUUUGGGGGUCCCGGCGGCCCGUGAGGACGCGCCGAGGAAACGGCCCGAGCCAGCCCGGUGAGGGGCGGGCAAGGGUAAGUUCACAGUGGGUUGGAGAGCUGUAAAGCACUCUGUAAUGAUCCCUCCGCUGGUUCACCAACGGAGA
rnacentral:misc_RNA from 1 species